rnacentral:rRNA from 1 species
ACGGGAGGCAGCAGUGGGGAAUAUUGCACAAUGGGGGGAAACCCUGAUGCAGCGACGCCGCGUGAGCGAAGAAGUAUUUCGGUAUGUAAAGCUCUAUCAGCAGGGAAGAAAAUGACGGUACCUGACUAAGAAGCUCCGGCUAAAUACGUGCCAGCAGCCGCGGUAAUACGUAUGGAGCAAGCGUUAUCCGGAUUUACUGGGUGUAAAGGGAGCGUAGACGGGACAGCAAGUCUGAUGUGAAAGGCGGGGGCUCAACCCCUGGACUGCAUUGGAAACUGUUGACCUUGAGUGCCGGAGAGGUAAGCGGAAUUCCUAGUGUAGCGGUGAAAUGCGUAGAUAUUAGGAAGAACACCGGUGGCGAAGGCGACUUACUGGACUGUAACUGACACUGAAGUACGAAAGCGUGGGGAGCAAACAGGAUUAGAUACCCUGGUA